CAGUCGCCGCGGUAAUACGUAGGGUGCGAGCGUUAAUCGGAAUUACUGGGCGUAAAGCGUGCGCAGGCGGUUGUGUAAGACAGGUGUGAAAUCCCCGGGCUUAACCUGGGAACUGCGCUUCUGACUGCACAGCUAGAGUAUGGCAGAGAGGGGCGGAAUUCCACGUGUAGCAGUGAAAUGCGUAGAGAUGUGGAGGAACACCGAUGGCGAAGGCAGCCCCCUGGGCCAAUACUGACGCUCAUGCGCGAAAGCGUGGGGAGCAAACAGGAUUAGAUACCCCUGUAGUCCCUGUCUCUUAUAC
rnacentral:rRNA from 1 species